rnacentral:rRNA from 1 species
GAUGAACGCUGGCGGCGUGCUUAGCACAUGCAAGUCGAACGGAAAGGCCCAAGCUUGCUUGGGUACUCGAGUGGCGAACGGGUGAGUAACACGUGGGUGAUCUGCCCCGCACUUCGGGAUAAGCCUGGAAAACUGGGUCUAAUACCGGAUAGGACAGUGGUUUGGAUGCCAUUGUGGAAAGUUUUUUCGGUGUGGGAUGAGCUCGCGGCCUAUCAGCUUGUUGGUGGGGUAAUGGCCUACCAAGGCGUCGACGGGUAGCCGGCCUGAGAGGGUGUACGGCCACAUUGGGACUGAGAUACGGCCCAGACUCCUACGGGAGGCAGCAGUGGGGAAUAUUGCACAAUGGGCGCAAGCCUGAUGCAGCGACGCCGCGUGGGGGAUGACGGCCUUCGGGUUGUAAACUCCUUUCGCUAGGGACGAAGCGUUAUGUGACGGUACCUAGAGAAGAAGCACCGGCUAACUACGUG